GUAGGUGAACCUGCGGAAGGAUCAUUAACACGUAUCCACGUUUGAUCAACCCCCCAAUCUGUGCACCUGAAUAUAAAUAUGUACAUCUUAUAAUGCGUCAAUGUAUUAUAUGGAUGUUUACAUAUUUUUUUCACAACUCCCAACUGACUCACCCCACCGAACCCCAAGUGGACUGAUGAAACCCGGUGAGAUGAUAUUCUUUCAAUUCAUUUGAAUGGAUAUUUUUCUUGUCGAACCAUAUGGAUUUUCCACAUGAGUGAACGCACAACUCUUAGCAAUGGAUAUCUUGGUUCUC
rnacentral:misc_RNA from 1 species